UUAACCCAUUAUUGAAAUCCAACCCUAUCUAUCCAAGCAAAAGCAAUUACACUUCAAACCAGUCAAAGCUCAAAAGAAUCAAAACAUUGUGCGCUCUCUUCCGCUAGGGUUCGUCCAUCCUCAACUUGAUCUCUUCCUUCUUCGGCUUUCAAGAGUCAACUAGGGUUCUUCAAUGGCAGAAAAUGAAAGUACGCAAAGUGAAGGUGGGGCUUCAAAUGAAAGCGUACCUAACACUUUAUGUCCAAGUCCAGUUGAAUCUGAAUCUGAAAUUGAAGCUUUAAAGAAAAGAAAAGUCAUGGAACCUAGAGCUGGUUGUUGGAAGCAUUUUGAAAGGAUAAUUAUCGAUGGAUCUCAUGGUAACUAUUGUGGCAAAACUUAUGUAACGACCCGUUUGGUCGUUAUAGUCUUCUCGGUACACCCAGAUGAGCUGAAGCUGUUAUAGAAGAUGUUCCGGCGGAGUUGGCAGGCUCCACUUGUUCCUGGAGUGCUGCCGAGUCAGAGUAUGUGUGCUACGAUGUCUGAUUAAUGUUAGAGACUUUGCAGACAGCGUCGUGGGUAUUGGUUGUCAGUUCUGUAAGCGGCUCCAUCAGCCGAUGUGUCAUUUUGUGUUAUGAUAUAAGUUCUACAUGAUUACAAAUUUUGUUUGGUUUGAGAACAAAGAAAAA